UCGGGAAUUUUGGGCAAUGGGGGAAACCCUGACCCAGCAACGCCGCGUGAAGGAUGAAGUAUUUCGGUAUGUAAACUUCGAAAGAAUAGGAAGAAUAGAUGACGGUACUAUUUAUAAGGUCCGGCUAACUACGUGCCAGCAGCCGCGGUAAUACGUAGGGACCAAGCGUUGUUCGGAUUUACUGGGCGUAAAGGGCGCGUAGGCGGCAAUUCAAGUCAUCUGUGAAAUCUCCGGGCUUAACUCGGAACGGUCAGAUGAUACUGCUUUGCUAGAGUGCAGAAGGGGCAAUCGGAAUUCUUGGUGUAGCGGUGAAAUGCGUAGAUAUCAAGAGGAACACCUGAGGUGAAGACGGGUUGCUGGGCUGACACUGACGCUGAGGCGCGAAAGCCAGGGGAGCAAACGGGAUUAGAUACCCCAGUAGUCCCUGAGCGGGCUGGCAAGGCGCAU
rnacentral:rRNA from 1 species